rnacentral:rRNA from 1 species
GACGAACGCUGGCGGCGUGCUUAACACAUGCAAGUCGAACGGACAGGCCCGGCUUUUGUUGGUUUCUCGAUUGGCGAACGGGGGAGUAACACGUGAGUAACCUGCCCUUGUCUUUGGGAUAACUUCACGAAACUGGGGCUAAUACCGCAUAGGAGCUCCUGCUGCAUGUUGUUGGUUGGAGAGUUUCGGCGGUAGGGGAUGGACUCGCUGCUUAUCCGCUUGUUGGUGUGGUAGUUGCUUACGAGGCCUUUGACGGGUAGCCGGCCUGAGAGGGUGAACGGGCACAUGGGGCCUGAGAGACGGACCAGAAUGCUACGGGAGGCAGCAGGGGGGAGUAUGGCACAAUGGGGGGAAGCGUGAGGCGACAAUGCCGGGUGCGGGAUGCCGGCCUUUUGGUUGAAAACCGAUGUCGAAUGUGACGAAGCGGUCGUGACGGUAAUGGGUAAAGAAGCAACGGCUAACUACGUG